GACGUAGGGCGCGAGCGUUGUCCGGAUUUAUUGGGCGUAAAGAGCUCGUAGGCGGCUUGUCGCGUCGACUGUGAAAACUUGGGGCUCAACUCCGUGCCUGCAGUCGAUACGGGCAGACUAGAGUUCGGUAGGGGAGACUGGAAUUCCUGGUGUAGCGGUGAAAUGCGCAGAUAUCAGGAGGAACACCGGUGGCGAAGGCGGGUCUCUGGGCCGAAACUGACGCUGAGGAGCGAAAGCGUGGGGAGCGAACAGG
rnacentral:rRNA from 1 species